rnacentral:misc_RNA from 1 species
AUGCGAUAAGUAAUGUGAAUUGCAGAAUUCAGUGAAUCAUCGAAUCUUUGAACGCACCUUGCGCUCCUUGGUAUUCCGAGGAGCAUGCCUGUUUGAGUGUCAUAAAUCUCUCAGCUCCCCUCCAGUUUUGUCUGGUAGGAUGGGUUGGAUCAUGGGGGGGAAAACUUUGUCGGCUCCAUUGCGAAUCGACUCCCCUGAAAAGCAUUAGUAGUCCGUGCUGUCUGCCGCCGGUGUGAUAAUAAUCUUUAUGCCGCCUGGUCCAGCAUACACGUUGUCUGCUCCAAACAGUCCGAGCACAAUCUCGGACAUCACAAUUUUAUUUUGACCACUUGACCUCAAAUCAGGUAGGACUACCCGCUGAACUUAA